UACAGAGGUCCCAAGCGUUGUUCGGAUUCACUGGGCGUAAAGAGCUCGUAGGCGGUUCGUCGCGUCGGCUGUGAAAUCCCGAGGCUCAACCUCGGGUCUGCAGUCGAUACGGGCGGACUGGAGUUCGGCAGGGGAGACUGGAAUUCCUGGUGUAGCGGUGAAAUGCGCAGAUAUCAGGAGGAACACCGGUGGCGAAGGCGGGUCUCUGGGCCGAUGACUGACGCUGAGGAGCGAAAGCGUGGGGAGCGAACAGG
rnacentral:rRNA from 1 species